rnacentral:lncRNA from 1 species
UAUAUAUUAAGUUUAUAUAUAUAUUAAUGAACACAAAACUUAACAUCUCUUGGUAAUUAAAAAAGUGUUACAUAUCAAAAAAAAAUUAGAAAGCAAAUAUACUUGUAUUAAUUCAUAUUUUAAAAACAAUAUAAAAACAAAAAAAAAUUAAUUACAAUUAGAAUUUCUAAAUAAAAAUAAAAUUGUGUCUGCAACACACUAUACCCCAACGGGCAGCGGUACAACAAUUAUUCACUACCAUAAUCAAAAUU